UAAUGCCAGAAAAGAGACAAAGAAUACAAGU
rnacentral:piRNA from 1 species